CCUACGGGGGGCAGCAGUGGGGAAUAUUGCACAAUGGGCGCAAGCCUGAUGCAGCCAUGCCGCGUGUGUGAAGAAGGCCUUCGGGUUGUAAAGCACUUUCAGCGGGGAGGAAGGCGGUGAGGUUAAUAACCUCAUCGAUUGACGUUACCCGCAGAAGAAGCACCGGCUAACUCCGUGUCAGCAGCCGCGGUAAUACGGAGGGUGCAAGCGUUAAUCGGAAUUACUGGGCGUAAAGCGCACGCAGGCGGUCUGUCAAGUCGGAUGUGAAAUCCCCGGGCUCAACCUGGGAACUGCAUUCGAAACUGGCAGGCUAGAGUCUUGUAGAGGGGGGUAGAAUUCCAGGUGUAGCGGUGAAAUGCGUAGAGAUCUGGAGGAAUACCGGUGGCGAAGGCGGCCCCCUGGACAAAGACUGACGCUCAGGUGCGAAAGCGUGGGGAGCAAACAGGAUUAGAUACCCGUGUAGUC
rnacentral:rRNA from 1 species